UGCACCGUACCACGGUUCAACCGCCGGCCGGAGAGCAGCGGAGCUUCCCGCAGAAUGUGCAGCACUCCGGGCUGCCUCCACCCAAGCCCAGACCUGCAAAGACACAUGAUGACAAGUUCUCUGUAAAAGAUGCAGUACAUACCAGGAAAGACGCCAGACUCCUUAAAGUGACACUAAAGCAGCCCUAGGUGUAUUGCGAUGAAUGAAAAAGCGCCAAAAAUAAACGGUGGAGCUAUCCAGAAGUGGAACCAAUAGCUGCUGUCCUUAAAAUAGAGAAAACGUUUGAUUUUGCAUUGCUUAAGCAACCCAUCAGAAAUUACUGGGCGUAAAGAGACAGCAAAGCGUGCUCAAAACAACCCUGUCUACAGUGGCCCUGUAACAUGUGCCAUGUGUUUCAGGUCUGAAGUGCAGGCUAUUCCCUGCCUCCUCCCUUGUACAAUAACGCCAGUGUGAUGUUAGUUUGAGGGGAGCAGGUCAUGGCAGAGUGCUUUCCACCCAAAAACUGUGUCGUGUUCAUGGAGGUCAGCACAAAGCUGGUGGCCGUGUACAGUCCCUUGGCUUAAGCCAAACCAAAAUGCUGUUCAGUUUUGAUUUCUGAAAGCAGCCAUCUGCUCUUGGACUCAAGGUGGGUUUUUCUCUGGUGGGUUUUCCCUUCCUCCCAAACCCCAAGAUAGACUGGCUGUAUGCUCUUAGGUGUUAGCUGGCUGUUUUCUUGUAUGACAUAGAACACUGGAUGUGUAAAGCAAAGAGGAGAAACGCAGAGAUCAAACGAUCAAGGUAACGCUGGACUGAUGAGGUAUUUCUUGAAAGUUUUCUUCGUCAUCCUAACUCAUCUGAUUGAUUGAAGGUGGCAGUAGAAAUUACUUAAAUAGCAUCCUGGAUGUAUGAUUACUGGCAGGGAAAUAAACAUAGGAGAGAGCCAGGGCAUAUACAAGAUCAGCAGUAGCAUGGGAAUGCAAAUGAAAGGAGACAAAUGUGGUUUCAUUAGACACAUCCUAAUAUUUCUGUUCAUGUGGGCUUCCUACAGAAGUAACCCUACAUUCCUUUCGUAGCAAAAAGUACACAACCAACACCAUGAAGAAUGUUAAGAGAUGUAUGGGAGGCUCACACGUACAUUAGGAGAGGACAACCUGUUGAUGCAGGCUAGCAUUGGCUUUUUUUCAUUGAGCAGAGGACAAGCAAGACCUUGUUUCUAGUUCGGGCACUAUGGUAAGGAGGAGUAUGAAUUUGUCAACCCAACAUACAAAAAGUCUGUUUUAUUAAACUUGUUUUCUGCAAAAACACAAAC